AACAAUAACAGCAAAAUCAAAUCUACAUUACUGCCUUUAUUACUGAAGAAUAAUGAAGCAAGAGACAAGGACAUAUGAAGAGUAUCAGGGGAAGAGAAAGAGAAAAAUCAUCAACAGUGUGGAGAUGGCAUCUUACUUCCGAAAGGCCAGCUGAACAAAGAAAGAUAAAGUACAAAGUGAAGGAACCUUCAAACAGUGAAAUAGCAAGGAGAGGACCACAAGCAGCAGAGCAAAUUGAAACAACGACUGCUACCCAGAAAUGUUCAAAGGAGGAAUCUACUGGGCAGGAAGGUUUAUCUUAACAAGGGCUCUGGAAAAUCAGCUGGACAUGGUGUGCUGUCUUUGAAUAUUCCCCUCAUGCUCAAGAUGCAGAUGAAUGAUUAGGGGAGCUAAUGGUAAUCAUCUCCAACAAUGCACUGGGAAACAAAAACUAUCAGAAUUAACUGUUCUGUAGUGAUGUAAUAACAGCAUUUCUGUAAGAACAAAAGAGACCUGAAUUCUGCCAGGUACAGCAAGUCUCUUCAUUCAAAGUAAUUUUCCUUCACACAUCCUA